AGCAGUAGCCGCGGUAAUACAGAGGGUGCAAGCGUUAAUCGGAAUUACUGGGCGUAAAGCGCGCGUAGGUGGUUUGUUAAGUUGGAUGUGAAAUCCCCGGGCUCAACCUGGGAACUGCAUUCAAAACUGACUGACUAGAGUAUGGUAGAGGGUGGUGGAAUUUCCUGUGUAGCAGUGAAAUGCGUAGAUAUAGGAAGGAACACCAGUGGCGAAGGCGACCACCUGGACUAAUACUGACACUGAGGUGCGAAAGCGUGGGGAGCAAACAGGAUUAGAUACCCCGGUAGUCCCUGUCUCUUAUAC
rnacentral:rRNA from 1 species